rnacentral:rRNA from 1 species
UGUCUUUUGAGUACCUUCGUUUCCUCGGCGGGUUCGCCCGCCGAUUGGACAAAACUUAAACCCUUUGUAAUUGAAAUCAGCGUCUGAAAAAAACAUAAUAGUUACAACUUUCAACAACGGAUCUCUUGGUUCUGGCAUCGAUGAAGAACGCAGCGAAAUGCGAUAAGUAGUGUGAAUUGCAGAAUUCAGUGAAUCAUCGAAUCUUUGAACGCACAUUGCGCCCCUUGGUAUUCCAUGGGGCAUGCCUGUUCGAGCGUCAUUUGUACCUUCAAGCUCUGCUUGGUGUUGGGUGUUUGUCUCGCCUCUGCGCGCAGACUCGCCUCAAAACGAUUGGCAGCCGGCGUAUUGAUUUCGGAGCGCAGUACAUCUCGCGCUUUGCACUCACAACGACGACGUCCAAAAAGUACAUUUUUACACUCUUGACCUCGGAUCAGGUAGGGAUACCCGCUGAACUUAAGCAUAC